rfam:Gossypium hirsutum cultivar TM-1 chromosome 4, whole genome shotgun sequence
UCGACCUUAGCUCAGUUGGUAGAGCGGAGGACUGUAGUUGGUCGAAGCCUUCAGUAAAAUCCUUAGGUCACUGGUUCGAAUCCGAUAGGUCGGA